GAUGAACGCUGGCGGCGUGCCUAACACAUGCAAGUCGAGCGAUCUUCUUCGGAAGAGAGCGGCGGACGGGUGAGUAACGCGUGGGUAACCUGCCCUGUACACACGGAUAACAUACCGAAAGGUAUGCUAAUACGGGAUAAAAUAUGAAAGUCACAUGACUCUUGUAUCAAAGAUUUAUCGGUACAGGAUGGACCCGCGUCUGAUUAGCUAGUUGGUAAGGUAAUGGCUUACGAAGGCAACGAUCAGUAGCCGACCUGAGAGGGUGAUCGGCCACACUGGAACUGAUACACGGUCCAGACUCCUACGGGAGGCAGCAGUGGGGAAUAUUGCACAAUGGGCGAAAGCCUGAUGCAGCAACGCCGCGUGAGCGAUGAAGGCCUUCGGGUCGUAAAGCUCUGUCCUCAAGGAAGAUAAUGACGGUACUUGAGGAGGAAGCCCCGGCUAACUACGUGCCAGCCGCCGCCGUAACAC
rnacentral:rRNA from 1 species